rnacentral:autocatalytically_spliced_intron from 1 species
GUGCGCCGGGAGACCGGUUAGAGAUCAAGGGGUGAAAGUCCCCGACCAUUGAAGGACCAGCAAUCCACAAGGUCCCCGAGUCAUGCGUUGCAUACCGCGAGGUAUGGGGCGAAGCGUUGACAGGGGUGUUGACAGGCCAGCCAUUGAGCCACGAAAUGUAUAUUAAAUUACCGGGUGCCGACGUUGUACUGUUAACGGAAGGCAACAUCAUAGGGUGCGAUACUGCGAGUGCCACAUGGACCCGGCGGGGUCUGAGACCCUGGCAUGUCAAUACGAUCUCUACGCGGGAACCGGGAGAUCUCCCCUCUGACCAUCUGCCAGUGUCGGAGAUGGCCCGCACCGGGAAGACGAGGAGUCAUAGCCGGUGAUGUACGGAGAGGAGAAGUCGGACUCGCUCAUAGUAGCGGCGAAGCAGGCGAACAACCCGAAAGGAGCGGAGUCAGUGGAGCGAAGGAGCGGGGCCAAGGGGAACGCGGAACAGCCACACAUGCGCCGGACACAGAGCCGGGAAAGCAUGUCACAGAGGCUGUCACGCGUGCGGGAAGCUGCGAAGCAGCGGAAGAAAGAACGGUUUACAGCAUUGUUCCACCUGCUGACAGUCGAAGCACUGGAAGCCGCAUUCCUCUCCCUGAGCAGGAAAGCGGCCGCCGAGUGGAUGGCAUCAGGUGGAUGGACUACGCCGGAAACAUGAAGAACAACAUAACAGAUCUGCACCGGAGGCUACAUCAGGGCAGCUACAGGGCGCAGCCCGGCAGGCGUCACUACAUCCCAAAAGCGGAUGGAAAACAACGCCCGCUCGGCAUCGCCUCGCUGGAGGACAAGAUCGUCCAGUAUGCGCUGGUGAAAAUCCUGAACGCAGUCUAUGAAAACGACUUUAUGGGGUUCUCAUACGGGUUCAGACCCGGGCGAAGCCAGCACGAUGCACUGGACGCACUGGCCACAGGGCUGGUACGCACUAACGUAAACUGGGUACUGGAUGCCGACAUCAGUCAGUUCUUCGACAGGGUGAGCCACGAAUGGCUGAUCAGGUUCACAGAGCAUCGGAUCGGCGACCGGAGGGUAAUCAGGCUCAUACGUAAGUGGCUCACAGCCGGGACGUCGGAGGAGGGUCAAUGGCGAGCAACGGAGGAAGGCACCCCACAGGGUGCGGUCAUCUCACCGCUGCUGGCAAACAUAUACCUCCACUACGUCUUCGAUCUGUGGGCGCAUCAGUGGCGACGUCGCUAUGCCACAGGCAAUGUGGUAAUGGUCAGAUACGCCGAUGACAUCGUCAUCGGGUUCGACAAACGAUACGAUGCCCGGCGCUUCCGUAUAGCCAUGCAGCGCAGACUGAGGGAGUUCGGACUCACGGUUCACCCGGAGAAAACCCGUCUGAUGGAGUUCGGCCGCUUCGCUGCCGAAAACCGUGCCAUCAGGGGAAAAGGCAAACCAGAAACGUUCAACUUCCUCGGGUUCACGCACAUCAGCGGGAAAGAUCGCAACGGCAGGUUCAUGCUGAUACGAAAGACCCGCCGGGAUCGGAUGACGGCAACUCUGAAAGCCAUCAAAGACGGUCUGCGAAGGCGCUGGCAUUACUCAAUCCCCGAACAGGGAAAAUGGCUCAGGAGAGUGGUUCAGGGAUACCUGAACUAUCACUCGGUACCGGGCAACUUCCCCACCAUGCAGAAGUUCAGGACACACGUAACAAACCUCUGGCGCCGGGCGCUCAGGCGCAGGAGCCAGAAGGAUGAUACGACCUGGACGAAAGCAAACAAACUGGCAGCCGCAUGGCUACCAAGGGUUCGGGUUCUUCAUCCAUGGCCUGUGGAGCGGUUCACCGCCAGACACCCGAGGCAGGAGCCCGGUGCGUAAAUCGCGCACGCCGGGAUCUGUGCGGGGGGUAUCCGGUAACGGGUAUCCCUACCGCGAC